AUGAGUAGGGUUAGAGACGUGAUUCUAGCAUCAGCUGAAGUUUAAAGAUCAUCCCUGUAAACCUGCUCUGGCUUUCAGUUUUCAUAGAUGAUGUUUCCUUUUCCCAGGAAGGAGAUACAUGUUGGCAACAUCUAAACUUGUCUUGUUUAAUCUAAUAUCACUCAAUUCAUUUAGAGGCUUAGUCCUAGACUUUCCUCUCUUUGGUUUGUUUUUAUUGUAUUUCUGGAGAAAUGCAGCUCAAAGUGCUCUUGUGAAACUCGGUAAAAUUUUGCUUAGUUUUAAACCUACACCCCAGAUACAGGAUGUACUAGAGAUGGUUCUGGCUCUAACAAGAACACUGUGCCUACCACAAAGAUUUGAUUCCUACCUACAUAGUGCCUUGUGAUGAUUCCUGUAUUUUUGCCUUAAAUGGAAUUUAUGGAGAAGACAUUUUUGAGAUGCAGUCUUAGAGAUUAGUGAAGAUUUAACUAAAACAUUGAUACUACAUGGUCUAAAUGAGGCAGAGAGAGCAUUUUAGAUGUGAUUCCGUAAACCAGCAACUUUAUCAACCCGGAUAAGAAAAGUUCCAGGAAGUUCAAAGUAUCAAUGAAUUGGAUUAUUCUAUUGAUAUUUCACUUUUCAUGUGUAUUUUUCUAAUCUCCCAAUUGUGUUUUAGUUCCAUUGAGCUGGAACUUUUUCUUGCAUCCUGGAUAGCUCAUUCCCAAUAGGUCAACUCCAAAUAGACUCUGAAAGUUCAGCAAAUAUGUGAAAACAAAUCUACAAGUUUCAUGUCUAGAAAAUAAAACCUCAUUUUAAACAUUCAGAGUGGACAAUGAAUAUCUAAAUGUUGUCAUGCAGUGAUUAAUCUUCAGCUUGUCCAAAUGCCUCAAGCCGGAGUUUUAUUUUUGUAUCAGGCAGAAACAAAAAAGGCUGACAUUGACAGUGAGUCAGCUUAACUUCCCCCUCUUCCUUUUGUUAGUAAACAUGUGCUCACACACUCAUAAGUAUAGGUACUAAUUUAUUCCUUAAAGCUAUGAGAAAAUAAAAUCAGUUUCUAACUUCUUAAAUUUGAGGUUAUUAAUCAGAACUCAUUUUUAUAAGUCCUUUGCUUAAUUGCCCACCUAAAAUGCAAUUUCAAACCAUUUUUAAGAAAGAGUUUUGUCACUCCACUGAAAGUCAGAUUUCAAAUAUCACACUCCUGAAACAGAGAAGCUCUGCAGCUCUAGAAUUUGGUGUGAAAUUUCCAGGUCUCCUACUCUGUCAACCCAAUUCAUCUUCUUUUUCUUUUAAGACACAUCAGUUAUCUCAGGCCCUCUCUUCUCACUCACAUUGUACCUCUAUAUCCCCUAAACACCCAGGUAAAGAAUGAGAAUUUCAGUUCAUCUUGUGAGUUGUUUAUGUAAAAUCCUUUUUUUUUUUUUUUUUUGAGACAGGGUCUCACUCUGUCACCCAGGCUGGAGUGCAGUGGUGCAAACACAUUGAACCAUGUUCAGUGGCUGAACCUCCUGGGCUCAGGCUAUCCUCCCGCCUCAGCCUCCCCAGUAGCUGAGACCACAGGCAGACACCACCAUGCCCACCUAAUUUUGUUUACUUUUUGUAGAGAUGAGGUCUCACUAUGUUGCCCACAUUGGUCGCGCACUCCUGGGCCCAAGCAAUCAUCCCAUCUCAGCCUCCCAAAGUGUUGGAAUUACAAGUGUGAGCCACCACACCCAGCCAAAAAAUGUUUUACAUAAAAUCAUAACAUACUUUUUUCAAAGUGGAUGUUAUCUUUUGAAAUGUUACUGUG
rnacentral:lncRNA from 1 species